UACGAAGGGGGCUAGCGUUGUUCGGAAUUACUGGGCGUAAAGCGCGCGCAGGCGGCCAUUCAAGUCAGGGGUGAAAGCCCAGAGCUCAACUCUGGAACUGCCCUUGAAACUGUAUGGCUUGAGUAUGAGAGAGGUGAGUGGAAUUCCCAGUGUAGAGGUGAAAUUCGUAGAUAUUGGGAAGAACACCGGUGGCGAAGGCGGCUUACUGGCUCAUUACUGACGCUCAGGCGCGACAGCGUGGGGAUCAAACAGG
rnacentral:rRNA from 1 species